rnacentral:misc_RNA from 1 species
UCCGGUUUAACACCGGCGGUCUCUUCAGAGUGCCCAACUUAAUGGUGGCAACUAAAGACAAGGGUUGCGCUCGUUGCGGGACUUAACCCAACAUCUUACGACACGAGCUGACGACAGCCAUGCAGCACCUAUCUCACUGUCCCCGAAGGGAAAGCACCAUCUCUGGCGUUGUCAGUGGAUGUUAAGCCCAGGUAAGGUUCUGCGCGUUGCUUCGAAUUAAACCACAUACUCCACCGCUUGUGCGGGCCCCCGUCAAUUCCUUUGAGUUUUAGCCUUGCGACCGUACUCCCCAGGCGGAUUACUUAAUGCGUGAGCUACGGUACCCAGGAGGUUAACAUCCCGGACACCUAGUAAUCAUCGUUUACGGCGUGGACUAC